GCAGCAGCCGCGGGAAUACGGAGGGUGCAAGCGUUAAUCGGAAUUACUGGGCGUAAAGCGCACGCAGGCGGUCUGACAAGUCAGAUGUGAAAUCCCCGGGCUUAACCUGGGAACUGCAUUUGAAACUGUCAGGCUGGAGUCUUGUAGAGGGGGGUGGAAUUCCAGGUGUAGCGGUGAAAUGCGUAGAGAUCUGGAGGAAUACCGGUGGCGAAGGCGGCCCCCUGGACAAAGACUGACGCUCAGGUGCGAAAGCGUGGGGAGCAAACAGGAUUAGAUACCCCAGUAGUCCCUGUCUCUUAUAC
rnacentral:rRNA from 1 species